rnacentral:rRNA from 1 species
UGGCUCAGAACGAACGCUGGCGGCGUGGAUAAGACAUGCAAGUCGAACGAAGACUGAACGAUAGCAAUAUUGUUUAGUUUUAGUGGCGAAAGGGUGCGUAACACGUGGGUAAUCUGCCGUAAUGUUUGGAAUAACUUGCCGAAAGGUAAGCUAAUACCGGAUGUGGACCUCUUGAGGCAUCUUAAGAGAUCUAAAGCUGGGGAUCGAAAGACCUGGCGCAUUAUGAUGAGCCCGCGGCCUAUCAGCUUGUUGGUGAGGUAA